rnacentral:sRNA from 1 species
GUAGCAUUACGUGUUUACGGACUUCUACUCAGUUUUAUAUUUGUGUGUCUUAAAACCUUAGAAUUCAUCAGAGAAAGCAAGAAAAUUAAAGUUAAAGCAUUCAUAUCCAUUUAUUAACAUUAAAUGGUAGUUGGUUGCUUGAACACAGCUAGAAGACAUUCACUUUUUUCAUAAGCAGAUCAUCAUGCCUAAUGUAAAUCAAAUUGUUGAUGACAUUUUAAAACAAGGGGGCAACUAUUCUAAAUAUGUAUCUAUAGGUCAGUGUUCAAAGAUAGAAUCAUGCCACUUCCAGAAUUAUACGCUGGAAGACCCAGUGCGACAAAAAAGAACUCGAGUCGUCCUCUUUGUAUCAGUACAUUUACAACGAGACACUCAAUAGCACGCACUACCUUUGACAAGUAAAAUUACAUAACACUCAAGGAUAUCUACGUAAUAAACAACUGUCUUUCAAUGAAAAUCGUGGGCCUCUACUAGUCAUGAUCCCCGGUGUAGAGAACCUCUUCGCACCAUACCUGAUCGCCACUGUCUACCAAUGCUGAGUUCUUACUCCCAAUACACAUGUCAAUAGCAGUUUUACAGUAACCAAAGGUCAAGUAAAAGGUUGCAACAAAGAAGUAAAGAUUACUCUCCCAGAAAGACUUCAGGUGAAAGAACUAAAAUUCAACCCUGGUCAGGAGAAGACCGAGAAUAAAUCUGAUGCGAGAACUGCAUCGGGCCAAUCGUUUACAGGCCAAGUGUUUUUACAAGUCCAAUUAAGAGGCAUUGUUUUAUUUCAAGAUAAAAGCACAAUACAUGAAAUUGAAAUGAUACAAAUAGUUGCUGAUUGGCUGAAACUGGACAAGAAACUCUCAUGUCCACUAUCUGUAUGUAAGAGUAAUCAAGGCCUUCCCGAAAAUGUAGAAUGGACAAUAGAGGGGCAUGUGAAGGUUUAUUAAAUGACUUUCACUGUUUUCUUUUUUUGUUUUGUUUUGUUCAAUCCCAAAAGAGAAUGUCCAAAUAAAUAUACAUGACUCUCAAUCGUUGUAAAAAAGCCAUCAUGUUUCUAUGUGAUAUUAUUUAUAAAAAGAGAGCU